AUUGAACGCUGGCGGCAGGCCUAACACAUGCAAGUCGAGCGAGCGGGGGACGGGUUAGUAAUGUAUGGGGAUCGGCCUGAUGGAGGGGGAUAGCUACUGGAAACGGUGGCUAAUACCGUAUAGUAUCGCAUGAACCCAUAUGGGAUUAGCUAGUGGGUGGGGUAAAGGCUUACCUAGGCGACGAUCUGUAGCUGGUCUGAGAGGAUGAUCAGCCACACUGGAACUGAGACACGGCCCAGACUCCUACGGUAGGCGGUAGUGGGGAAUAUUGCACAAUGGGCGCAAGCCUGAUGCAGCCAUGCCGCGUGUAUGAAGAAGGCCUUAGGAUUGUAAAGUACUUUCAGCUGGGAGGCGUUACCCGCAGAAGAAGCACCGGCUAACUCCGUGCCAGCAGCCGCGGUAAUAC
rnacentral:rRNA from 1 species